rnacentral:rRNA from 1 species
CCUACGGGUGGCAGCAGUGGGGAAUAUUGGACAAUGGGCGAAAGCCUGAUCCAGCAAUGCCGCGUGAGUGAUGAAGGCCUUAGGGUUGUAAAGCUCUUUUACCAGGGAUGAUAAUGACAGUACCUGGAGAAUAAGCUCCGGCUAACUCCGUGCCAGCAGCCGCGGUAAUACGGAGGGAGCUAGCGUUGUUCGGAAUUACUGGGCGUAAAGCGCACGUAGGCGGCUACUCAAGUCAGAGGUGAAAGCCCGGGGCUCAACCCCGGAACUGCCUUUGAAACUAGGUAGCUAGAAUCUUGGAGAGGUCAGUGGAAUUCCGAGUGUAGAGGUGAAAUUCGUAGAUAUUCGGAAGAACACCAGUGGCGAAGGCGACUGACUGGACAAGUAUUGACGCUGAGGUGCGAAAGCGUGGGGAGCAAACAGGAUUAGAUACCCCUGUAGUC